rnacentral:rRNA from 1 species
GACGAACGCUGGCGGCGUGCCUAAUACAUGCAAGUCGAACGCUGAAGGAGGAGCUUGCUUCUCUGGAUGAGUUGCGAACGGGUGAGUAACGCGUAGGUAACCUGCCUGGUAGCGGGGGAUAACUAUUGGAAACGAUAGCUAAUACCGCAUAAUAGUAGAUGUCGCAUGACAUUUGCUUAAAAGGUGCAAUUGCAUCACUACCAGAUGGACCUGCGUUGUAUUAGCUAGUUGGUGAGGUAACGGCUCACCAAGGCAACGAUACAUAGCCGACCUGAGAGGGGGAUCGGCCACACUGGGACUGAGACACGGCCCAGACUCCUACGGGAGGCAGCAGUAGGGAAUCUUCGGCAAUGGACGGAAGUCUGACCGAGCAACGCCGCGUGAGGGAAGAAGGGUUUCGGAUCGUAAAGCUCGGUUGUAAGAGAAGAACGAGUGUGAGAGUGGAAAGUUCACACUGUGACGGUAUCUUACCAGAAAGGGACGGCUAACUACGUG